rnacentral:rRNA from 1 species
UGGGGAAUAUUGGACAAUGGGCGCAAGCCUGAUCCAGCAAUGCCGCGUGUGUGAAGAAGGCCUGCGGGUUGUAAAGCACUUUAAGCAGGGAGGACGGGAAGCGGGGCUAAUACCCUUGCCUCUUGACGUUACCUGCAGAAUAAGCACCGGCUAACUUCGUGCCAGCAGCCGCGGUAAUACGAAGGGUGCAAGCGUUAAUCGGAAUUACUGGGCGUAAAGCGCGUGUAGGCGGUUGGCUAAGUCAGAUGUGAAAGCCCCGGGCUCAACCUGGGAAUUGCAUUUGAUACUGGCUGGCUAGAAUGUGGUAGAGGGAGGCGGAAUUCCCGGUGUAGCGGUGAAAUGCGUAGAUAUCGGGAAGAACACCAAUGGCGAAGGCAGCCUCCUGGGCCAACAUUGACGCUGAGACGCGAAAGCGUGGGGAGCAAACAGG